CCUACGGGAGGCAGCAGUGAGGAAUAUUGGUCAAUGGCCGGAAGGCUGAACCAGCCAUGCCGCGUGAAGGUCAGUGCCCUAUGGGCGUUAAACUUCUUUUGUGCGGGAGCAAUAAUGGUCACGUGUGGCCAGACGAGAGUACCGUACCAAUAAGCAUCGGCUAAAUCCGUGCCAGCAGCCGCGGUAAUACGGGGGAUGCAAGCGUUAUCCGGAUUUAUGGGGUUUAAAGGGGGCGUAGGCUGUGAGGUAAGUCAGAGGUGAAAUGCCGCCGCUCAACGGGGUGAAGUGCCAUUGAUACUGCCUUGCUGGAAUGCGGAUGCGGUGGGAGGAAUGUGUGGUGUAGCGGUGAAAUGCAUAGAUAUCACACAGAACACCGAUUGCGAGGGCAUCUCACGAAUCCGCGAUUGACGCUGAGGCACGAAAGCGUGGGUAUCAAACAGGAUGAGAUACCCUUGUAGUC
rnacentral:rRNA from 1 species